rnacentral:rRNA from 1 species
UACGAGGGGGGCGAGCGUUGUUCGGAAUUAUUGGGCGUAAAGGGUGCGUAGGCGGUUUGGUAAGUCUUGUGUGAAUCUACAGGCUCAACUUGUAGUCUGCACGAGAAACUGCCGGGCUUGAGUAUGGGAGAGGUGAGUGGAAUUCCUGGUGUAGCGGUGAAAAUGCGUAGAUAUCAGGAGGAACACCUGUGGCGAAAAGCGGCUCACUGGACCAUAACUGACGCUCAU